CAGGAACUGAGGCAUAAAAGGGUUGGUAUUAGGGAUUAGAACUUGUUUCUUCACUGCUCAUUGAUCCAGACAUCAGCACAGCCUCAGGAAGCCCUGGUUUAAGUGUCUGCUCUGUUAUUUACUAAGGAUAAAAUGGGCAUGGACGACAUCGAGCCACAGUCACUCAGCACUUGACGGCCUCCUUCAGCAUUCGAGACGCUGGGGACUCACCUCAGAGCUGUGAGCGAGCCUCCCAGCAUGCAACAUCCGCAGACAGAGCAAAUAUUGAGAUUCUGUAGAGCCUAUAUUGCAAAUAUUGGAAGUUAAAUAAUUCCAUAGCCAAUAAAAAAAAGACUGGCAACCUUUCUAAUGCAAAAAGGGAAUAUGCAAUGUCACUGAGCAUGGUAUUAAAAUUGUAAUGACAGAUCAAAAAAGGGCAAGAAGCACCAAUGAUAGGAAUAAAGGGGGACAAGAAUUUAGGUAAAAUUUGUACAAAUCCAGGAUUUGAAGCCUGAUGUAAUCCAAGCAAUUUCUUUAUCUACAUAGACCAUGUUAUUGACCUCUUUCAUGUUUUCCCAGCUGGCACUGGGGAUGUUUACCACGGUGCUGGGGGGACUCGUGCUCCUUUUUGGGAGCCAGCUCCUUUUCGGUUAGAAUGGCUGCCCUGCUGCAUGGAGGGCUCAUGUCUCAGGAGCUGCCAGGCACCAAAGCUUCAUCCCUGCCCUGGCCGGCCAAUACGUCUGGCAUAGAAGUGUCAGGAAGAGUACUGUCUCCAUCCAGAUAUCCUCUUAGGAGCAAAUGGCGGACAAAUUUUCAGAAAGCUGUGGGGAGGACAGAGUUCCCACGGACUUGGAAGGGGAAUAGAGGUCUGUGCCAUCCAGAAAAGAGCAGGUGGGGCGCACUGCCGAGGGUCGCGUCCGGGAGUCGGGACUGCAGCCAUGGGGAGCCCUGGCCACGUCAGGGCAACUUGGCUGUGGCCCGCCUCACUGUCCCUCCUUGUGACCAACUAUGACUCUUAGUGGAUCUUCGAUCUCUGGGCUUCUCCUGGUCUGCAGCCUCUCUCCUGCAUAAACAGUGCAGAACUGGAAUGUUAAUAUGAAAGUUUCUGGAUGGAGGGCGGCCCUCCAGGAAAGCCCGAGGCUUCUUUACUGCCAUUGAAGAAAUGCUUUGGAUGGUAGAGAUGUGAAGGAAGGCAGCGUGAAGACAAAACCUUCACACAAAGGAGCGCCAAGCAAAGCAAGAGAACUGGAGAGAAAUGGUGCCAGAGCCCCAACUGCUCUUCACUCAGAAUCCUCAGGACCUCAGAAUUUCCUGCUAUAUGAGUGCUUGAAUCAUUGCUCUGCAGGCGAGCAGGUGGUUUCCAUGAGCCUGAACGGAGUUGUGAGGGACAGGGACCUGAU
rnacentral:lncRNA from 1 species